rnacentral:rRNA from 1 species
CCUACGGGAGGCUGCAGUGGGGAAUAUUGGACAAUGGGGGUAACCCUGAUCCAGCCAUGCCGCGUGUGUGAAGAAGGCCCUCGGGUUGUAAAGCACUUUCAGUGAGGAAGAACGCCUGGUGGUUAAUACCCAUCAGGAAAGACAUCACUCACAGAAGAAGCACCGGCUAACUCCGUGCCAGCAGCCGCGGUAAUACGGAGGGUGCGAGCGUUAAUCGGAAUUACUGGGCGUAAAGCGCGCGUAGGUGGCUUGAUAAGCCGGUUGUGAAAGCCCCGGGCUCAACCUGGGAACGGCAUCCGGAACUGUCAAGCUAGAGUGCAGGAGAGGAAGGUAGAAUUCCCGGUGUAGCGGUGAAAUGCGUAGAGAUCGGGAGGAAUACCAGUGGCGAAGGCGGCCUUCUGGACUGACACUGACACUGAGGUGCGAAAGCGUGGGUAGCAAACAGGAUUAGAUACCCCGGUAGUC